AUGCACUGAAACACGUCCACCAAGCAAGAUAGCUGAGGCUAAGGAGCUAGGCUAAGAAGCUAGGCUAUAUGCUACUCUGAUGCUACGGAUGCUACAUAACGGUGCAUACCCUUGCCGCCGGUUGCCGCCUUCUCAGUUAUCUUAACAAAGUAAAUCAGUAAUGGCAGCGAGUGAGAUCUCCACCAAAGCUGCUCCACUCCGGAUAAACCCCACCGUAUGGAUUGUUGGGGACAGCUUUGUCCGGCGCCCAGAGAGCAGCAGAGACAUGUGGAAGCAACCUCGGCCUACCUGACGUCCACGUUUGCUGGUUUGGCUGGGGUGGACUGCGUUGGAAAGGCUUUCUCCCCUUCUUCGACCACUCCCUGCGAGGAAGAGCAGCCCCAGACUACCUGAUGAUCAACUGUGGCGGCAACGACAUGGGGGAAACCAGCCGUGUCCAGCUGGUCAACAUGAUGGAGGAUUUGCACCAGCUCCACCACCGGCACCCUGGGAUGAAGAUUAUUUUUUCUUCUUUGACCCAAAGGUGCCGGUGGAGGGCUGGUGCAAACCCAGGACAGAUGGACAAGGCCAGGAAGUUUGUCAACAGUGUUAUGGCUACAUUUGUCCGUGGAUUAAAUUGUGCCAUGAUUGAGCACCCUAACAUUAGACAACAGUCCUGGGAUAUUUUUGGCAGAUAAAGUUUAUCUCACACCUAGUGGGAAUGAUAUGUUUUUAGGGGCAUUGGCCAACUGCCUGAAAGACCACAUCCAAAUGCAGUGAACUGCUGACAGUUUGCAGUGUCACUGCUUUUGAAUUUGGCCUUUGGGACACAUUUUAGGCAUUAAAAUAGCCCAGACUGUCAUGGCUAAUGUUGACAUUUGUUAAAAAGUUAAAAAAAACACAACAAAUGUAGCCAUAACACUGUUUCCUGUUCUGUUGCUCUUCCUCUAUUCCACCCUUUAUCCCCUUCCCCCAACACACUGUAUGGUCUG